CAAAAUUGUGUAAUUUCCUAAUUAUCUUUAAUUUGUUAAGACUUGUCAAUACUUCGAUCGGUGAUCACGAGGAAACUACCGAAACACGUAAAAGGAAUUCAAAUUCAAUUUCGUAUGUUGGAACAUAGAUAAAAAAAUAAAAAAUUAAAAACCCUUUAUCCAGAAAAAAAAAUUAACACAGGUCGUACGAGGUUAAUGUGACAACGUAAUUUUCAAAUAGUAGGCUUGCCUCAAGCUUCACGAUUGCACCAUUCAUCUAAGGAUAUGACGAUAAUGUAUGCAAGAUCAAGAGUACCGAACUAAGGAUUUAAACAUGGAUUGU
rnacentral:lncRNA from 1 species